rnacentral:lncRNA from 1 species
UUUUUUUUUUUUUUUUUUUUUUAAGCAAAACCACCCUGAAAAACAUUAUAAUAAUUAUCUGUAUUAUUUUUUUCACCUAGCAGAAUGUCUGAAGAAUAAUUAGUUUGUGGAUGCAGAACUAGAAGAUGUUAAGGAGAAACACAUUUUCUGAAAAGUAAUGCUGAAGGUCAUGUCCUCAAUGUAUUUGUGUAUUUCUUUCUAGCGCAACUGGGGGUGAAAUGACACAGGUCAAUAUUGGGAAUUCAUAUUGAAAUUCUUGCCUAACUCUUGUUUCUCUGAGUAUUCUGCUGAAUUCUUUGUGGCUGUCCACAGUGGCAGAAGGGAGCAAAUCCAUCGUCCUGCACCAGCCCUUGCAGAUGUGAAAUUUGCAGGUUCCACCAAAUGGUGGAUGUGUUGUUACAUGUGUUGCAUAUGUAUUGCAUAACACAUACAUGUAUAUGUAUUGUAUAACACAUAUAUUGUUAUCCCUGACUUUCCUGCACUGCAAUUUCCCCACUGGGAACUGGUAGGACCUUAUCUUUAAGGAUCAUCCCUGGAGGCCACUCAAGGGUAGUACCAUCAUGGCAAUGUAAUCUGGAUGCAUAUUCUUUUCUCUGGCUUAUUUCCAUGGUGCCAGUAAUAAUGUGCAUGGUCCUACUUACUCUGCUCUGUCCCUCUCUGUUUCAGGGGAGAAUAUGGCCCAGGGCAUCCUUCCGUUCCAUGUAUCAUGCUUCCAUUUCCCUUCACCCCACAGGAGAUGAAGAACUUCAGAUUGAUGGAAGAGCUGACCUGUUUUUGGUCUGUUAGUCUAAGAAGGUGCUACACAUCUGUGGCACCAGACCACUUCCACCACAGGCUCCUAGUAAGGAGAAAAUCUUGGACUUCACCAAGAAUAACUUAAAGCAGGAGAAACCAAAUGAUCACAAGAAGGAAGAAAUACUAAAACAAAAACAGACUCAGAGAAGCCCGUUGGUCAUCGUUAGGUUUUUCAGCUCUUCUAGUGCCAAGCUGUAGUGCUAGAUAUUUCUGAGGAGCUGUGUGCAGGCAGAAGGUCAGGAAUAACUGUGGGGGUUGGCACCGGCUGAGUUACAACAGUUCCCAUGAAAUACUUUGUCUUGCAGCCAGCUGUUUCCUGACA